rnacentral:rRNA from 1 species
GAUGAACGCUGGCGGCGUGCCUAAUACAUGCAAGUCGAACGCUGAGGCGAGGAGCUUGCUCUUCUUGGGUUAGUUGCGGACGGGUGAGUAACACGUAGGUAACCUGCCUUUUAGCGGGGGAUAACUAUGGGAAACGAUAGCUAAUACCGCAUAACAAUGGAUGACACAUGGCAUUUAUGUGAAAGGGGCAAUUGCUCCACUACAAGAUGGACCUGCGUUGGAUUAGGUAGUAGGUGAGGUAAUGGCUCACCUAGGCGACGAUACAUAACCGGCCUGAGAGGGUGGUCGGGCCCACUGGGACUGAGAAACGGCCCCGACCCCUAAGGGAGGCAGCCGUAGGGAAUCUUUGGCAAUUGGGCGAACGCUGACCGAGGAACGCCGCGGGGGUGAAGAAGGUUCUCGGAUCGGAAAGAUCUGUUGUAAGUCAAGAACGGGUGUGAUAGUGGACAGUUCACACCUUGACGGUAGCUAAUCAGAAAGCGACGGCUAACUACGUG